CUGCCAGGGCCUGCUCGGGGGAGAUGUAGUGCACGUGGGAGUCGAUGCCUCCGGCUGUGGCGAUGAAGUGUUCACCGGCGAGGAGUUCGGUGCCUGGGCCAACGAUCAGGCGCGGGUCGACUCCGCUCUGGGUGUGCGGGUUCCCGGAUUUGCCGACCCCGGCUAUCUUUCCGUCGCGAAUGCCGAUGUCGCCUUUAACGACUCCGAGAAUCGGGUCCAGGAUGAUGGCGUUCGUUAUGACCAGGUCCAGGACUCCCUCAGCGGAAGUCGCCUGGGGAUCUGCGGCCAUGCCG
rnacentral:sRNA from 1 species